rnacentral:rRNA from 1 species
AGGGCACCACCAGGAGUGGAGCCUGUGGCUUAAUUUGACUCAACAUGGGAAAACUCACCCGGCCUGGACAGGGACAGGAUUGAUAGAUUGAUAGCUCUUUCUCGAUUCCAUGAGUUGUGGUGCACGGCCUUAAUUGGUGGAGUGAUUUGUCUGGUUAAUUCCGAUAACGAACGAGAUUCUGGCAUGCCAAAUAGUUAUGCGACCCCCAAGUGGUCGGCAUCCCCCAACUUCUUAGAGGGACAAGUGGCGUUCAGCCACCUGAGAUUGAGCA